rnacentral:rRNA from 1 species
AGCAGUGGGGAAUAUUGCACAAUGGGCGCAAGCCUGAUGCAGCCAUGCCGCGUGUAUGAAGAAGGCCUUCGGGUUGUAAAGUACUUUCAGCAGUGAGGAAGGUGGGUAUGUUAAUAGCAUAUUCAUUUGACGUUAGCUGCAGAAGAAGCACCGGCUAACUCCGUGCCAGCAGCCGCGGGUAAUACGGAGGGGUGCGAGCGUUAAUCGGAAUUACUGGGCGUAAAGCGCAUGCAGGUGGUUUGUUAAGUCAGAUGUGAAAGCCCGGGGCUCAACCUCGGAAUUGCAUUUGAAACUGGCAAACUAGAGUACUGUAGAGGGGGUAGAAUUUCAGGUGUAGCGGUGAAAUGCGUAGAGAUCUGAAGGAAUACCGGUGGCGAAGGCGGCCCCCUGGACAGAUACUGACACUCAGAUGCGAAAGCGUGGGGAGCAAACAGGAUUAGAUACCCUGGUAG